CAUAAAUAUAAAGAGAGGAUAGAGACAGCCUUGCACAUAAAGUUACAGAGGCAAAUUCUACCGACAUGGAAUGUAUAAUAAACACUGACUUUUUAAAAAAAUACUUUCGAAUAUUCUAAUAGGGAAGAUUAUCCUAUGGUUCUUUACAUUCUUCAGUUUUAAUGUUCUCACUGAAGGCGUUCAGUGAUAGAUAAUUGAAAAGUUUAGGUGUUGCUGUUUCUAGCUCGAAGACCUGUCUUGAACUAUUUCUACUGCAAUGUCAAGUUGUCAGGGCAUCAGCUCUUAACCCAGUUACCAACGCAGAACCUGUAGUCUGGUCUGAACAAAUUAUGUUCAGAUGCUUACAGAUCAGCGUUCGGCGUUCAUGACUAUCUGCAAUUAUUUGCAGGAUGCGGAGGAGAGAAGGGGAGUUAAAACAAGCUGAAGAAAGCUCACAUUGAAAUUGUUGCAAGACACAUCUAUACAAAAUGAAAAGGCACAAUAAAUGGCAAUAAUUAACGCUUGGGAAUACAAAAAUUAAAAGGUUUCUGACUGAAAAACCAGCUAGUAAAUGGGUUAAAAUAGUUGUAAGAAGCUAAGGACUUUCGUCCUCUGAACAGAAUGCGGUUCCCUUCUAAUAAAAGGGCGUUUUUUUUUUGCAGCGCAAUUUCCUCUCAAAUGAAAAUGAGUCCACACUUUACUCAACAUUGCUGUCUACCAUCUCAUCUAAGAACAGGUGUAUUCAGGUACCUCUGUAGGUACCCCAGUGCUGCAGUGGUGGACUCUUCAGGGAGUCUAAUGGGGCAAAACCUUCAUGCAUGACUCAGUUGGAAAAUCUGCCCACUAAGCCUGCGCCAGAUUAAAUGAACCUGGGAAACUGGCUGCUGAGAGAAAGAACAUCACAAAACACAACGUGGGCAAUGAAGUACUUUUGAAGAGUAGCCUCUUCUUCAUUGGAAGAAGUGCAUCAGCCAAUAUGAGCACAGCACAAUCCUACAAAUAUCAAAACAAUGAUGAUCAG